UACGUAGGGUGCAAGCGUUGUCCGGAAUUAUUGGGCGUAAAGAGCUCGUAGGCGGUUUGUCGCGUCUGCUGUGAAAACUCGGGGCUUAACCCCGGGCCUGCAGUGGGUACGGGCAGACUAGAGUGCGGUAGGGGAGACUGGAAUUCCUGGUGUAGCGGUGAAAUGCGCAGAUAUCAGGAGGAACACCGGUGGCGAAGGCGGUGGUCUGGGCCGGCACUGACGCUGAGGAGCGAAAGCGUGGGGAGCGAACAGG
rnacentral:rRNA from 1 species